rnacentral:rRNA from 1 species
UAGGGAAUCUUCGGCAAUGGACGAAAGUCUGACCGAGCAACGCCGCGUGAGUGAAGAAGGUUUUCGGAUCGUAAAGCUCUGUUGUAAGAGAAGAACGGGUGUGAGAGUGGAAAGUUCACACUGUGACGGUAUCUUACCAGAAAGGGACGGCUAACUACGUGCCAGCAGCCGCGGUAAUACGUAGGUCCCGAGCGUUGUCCGGAUUUAUUGGGCGUAAAGCGAGCGCAGGCGGUUAGAUAAGUCUGAAGUUAAAGGCUGUAGCUUAACCAUAGUACGCUUUGGAAACUGUUUAACUUGAGUGCAGAAGGGGAGAGUGGAAUUCCAUGUGUAGCGGUGAAAUGCGUAGAUAUAUGGAGGAACACCGGUGGCGAAAGCGGCUCUCUGGUCUGUAACUGACGCUGAGGCUCGAAAGCGUGGGGAGCGAACAGGAUUAGAUACCCUGGUAGUCCACGCCGUAAACGAUGAGUGCUAGGUGUUAGGCCCUUUCCGGGGCUUAGUGCCGCAGCUAACGCAUUAAGCACUCCGCCUGGGGAGUACGACCGCAAGGUUG